rnacentral:rRNA from 1 species
CCAAUCAGAUUUGCAAUGAAAAAAAACAGACACAACCACACGCACAAGCUCUCCUCCUCUUCCUCUCACCCACGAAGUCCUCGCCGCCGCCACCACCCACGCCGGCCGCUUCCGGCGAGCUCCGGCGCCGCGCAGCACGCCCCCAAGCUCACCAUGGUCCGCGCCUCCCUCCCCUCCGUCCAGAUUCUCCGCUCCCGGCCUCUACCAACCACUCGCAACCCCACCCCCGUGGCUAGGGUUUCUGGCAAGGGUUCGCCGGCGCGUCUCCGGCGGCCCUAGAUGUAGAUGUAGCACACCAUGGGAGUUUCCCAUCCACCACGGUGGCAGCUUCUUCAUGGGAGAUGUGAUGCAAAAGAAGCACAAUAGUUCAGUGAUGAUUAGCUUUGGUUUUUCCCGGUUGAGAAUUUGAGGUUGUGUGUGUACACUGUCAACAAUAUUUCCAGAAACAAAAUAAUCGUGUACAUCCUUGUUUGGGGAAAGGUGGGCUGUAUAAGCAUGGACAUUAAUCUUCACUUUUUGUGCUAUAUAAGCAUGGACGUUAGGUAGUCAAUUUAGCCACAUAUAGAAUUCGUUAGAGUAUUACAUUUAAAUGGCUGACACAAGGUUCAGUAGGAAUUUGUUACAGUAUUACAUUUAAAUGGCUGACACAAGGUUCAGCCAGAUAUAAAAGGUCACAUAUCAUUUUAGUUGUAAUUAUUCAAAUGGCUGACACAAGGUUCAGUAGGAAUAACAUUAUGGUGUUCCAAAUAUCCAGCGACAUGACUAAAGCUCAAAUUUCUAAAGUGUUUGUCGUGCUUGCCGUAACAGUGUAGAUCUUUUCACAUUUUCUGGAUUUAUUCGUGCCCGUGGAGUUUUUGUGCCCAUCAUAUGUAGAUCUUUUAUUGGUAAGUUUGGAUGUUGUAGACUGAUCCGCUUUGGUAAGUCAUAUUUGCCUGCAGGGUGAUGAUGUUUAUGCAUCUAGGGAACCAUGGAGAUUUUACCAUGUGAUAUUUCCUCAAGCAAACUAAGUUAUUUUGCAAUUUGCUGCUCAAGUUGUGGCUCUUCUGCAGGUAUGUCAUUGUGGUCCUUUCCACUAUAUUUAUUUGACGUAUAUGCUUCCAGACAAUAACUUAGGUUUUGUACUACAUGGUAAAUGAAAUGAAAUUUCUAAUAUGCUAGAACGUACAAUGGUAAUUGUUAGUUUCAUUAGUAUUUCUCGGCAAACCCUCGUUCUUUCUUGGUCUGCUGAAAAUAAUUGUUAUCAGUUUUUCUUUACAUUGUCUAUAGAGAAAGUGAUGUUUUUAAGAGAUAUUUCUGUAACAUGAGCAAUGGUGCUUACUUCUUAUAUCCCAUAUAUUGUUGAAUUAUGUGCUUAUGAGGCAAAACGGUCAUGGCGGUCCUGCACAAGUGGAUGAAUGACUGGAAGGGGCGGCACCACGACGGUUAAGGUGGUUUAUACCCAGCCGGGGAGGACGACCCCCUGCAAUGGGCAUGGAAAGAUGUUGCAGCAGCGAACGAGGAGGCGGAGAUGCGCAAGGCAGAGUAGGAAAAACGUGCUCUGGUCCUCCUCCAAGCCCGCCGGAGACUCCCUAACAUGAUGUAACCAAUCACGAGGACUAGGAUGUUGAGGAAGAUGGUGAAUGGGCAGCUCCAACCAUAUGCAAAAGGAACAAUUUCAAAUCCUAAGUGCAAUUGUACGACUAGAAUGGUAACUGUUCUAGACAAGCGAACACAAACAUUGUUGAAGUUGCACGUAUGUGUAAAUUUUUGUGUUGGGAAAACAUUCAGAUUGGAGGUGAACGAGGAUGACUCAAGCAUUACAAAGAACAGUUGGUAAACAAUGUACCGGUCUCAGCUGACCUUAUGUAUCUUGUAGUGUCAGUGCCAUACUUCUGUACAUAAAACGAUGGAACCGGCAUCAAUCACUUGAACGGGCAUGUUGAUUUGGUUUUCCUGUCUAUGUGCCUUGAGCAUUUCUUCCUCUACACCAGGCAAUGAUUGAGGAUUCACGGAUAUAUUGAGAUCAACUUUUCGAUGCAAUUUGGAUGAUCAAAUCACACUACUAUCUGAGCAUAUAUGAGAUGUUCGCACAGCUACAUUUUUAAAUGUUCAUAAGGUUUGUGAACAUACAAUUUACUACAUGAAGGAUGUGCCUGGCUUCCAUGUUGAAGUAGUAGGACUAUUUCCACAUAUGCGAGAGAAGAACUAUGAUCGGAGGUACUAUGUAUGCUUGAUCCAAUUUAGACAUCAACAAUUAUGUAUCUAAAAGCUGGAGUGCUCCUUGAACAUUGUACUGUAUAUAUGAUUGAAAUGAGUUGCAUGUUGUCGGUGACGACGAGUUGAACCAAUGGAAGCGGCCGUAAUGGUAAGAUAGAGAAGAUGGCCGUGGGAGAAAAAGAGGACGGCAGUAGUGGUAAAGAAGAGAAGAUCAUUGAUGUAAAAGGAGGACAUGUGUUGGACCUAGCAUGUCUAAAUACAAGCAUGUGC